AGAGUUUGAUCAUGGCUCAGAACGAACGCUGGCGGCGCGUUUUAAGCAUGCAAGUCGAGCGGCAAGGGUCUUCGGGCCCCUAGAGCGGCGGACGAGUGAGUAACACGUGGACAAUCUGCCCCCCGGCCGGGGAUAGCCCAGGGAAACCUGGAUUAAUACCGGAUGAGACGGGACCCGCGGAGGCGGGAUCCGGGAAAGGCGCUGCGGCGCCGCCGGGGGAUGAGUCUGCGUCCCAUUAGCUUGACGGCGGGGUAACGGCCCACCGUGGCGACGAUGGGUAGCCGGCCUGAGAGGGUGUACGGCCACAUUGGAACUGAGACACGGUCCAGACUCCUACGGGAGGCAGCAGCUAAGAAUCUUCCGCAAUGGGCGAAAGCCUGACGGAGCGACGCCGCGUGAACGAAGAAGGCCGUGAGGUUGUAAAGUUCUUUUCGGGAGGGGGAACAACCGUGGCAGGGAAUGGCCGCGGGAUGACGUGAAUCCCGGAAUAAGCCCCGGCUACUACGUGCCAGCAGCCGCGGUAACACGUAGGGGGCGAGCGUUGUUCGGAAUUAUUGGGCGUAAAGGGCGUGCAGGCGGUCCUGCAAGUCCGGCGUGAAAGACCCCGGCCCAACCGGGGGGGCGCGCUGGAAACUGCAGGGCUUGAGUACAGGAGGGGAUGCCGGAAUUCCAGGUGUAGGGGUGAAAUCUGUAGAUAUCUGGAGGAACACCAAUGGCGAAGGCAGGCAUCUGGCCAUGUACUGACGCUGAGACGCGAAGGUGCGGGGAGCAAACAGGAUUAGAUACCCUGGUAGUC
rnacentral:rRNA from 1 species